GAUGAAGAACGUAGCGAAAUGCGAUAAGUAGUGUGAAUUGCAGAAUUCAGUGAAUCAUCGAAUCUUUGAACGCACAUUGCGCCCCUUGGUAUUCCAUGGGGCAUGCCUGUUCGAGCGUCAUUUGUACCUUCAAGCUUUGCUUGGUGUUGGGUGUUUGUCCUUUCUCUUGCAGAGGGACUCGCCUUAAAGUAAUUGGCAGCCAGUGUUUUGGUUUUGAAGCGCAGCACAAGUCGCGAUUCAAAGCUAUACGCCAGCUUCUACAAGCCUUUUUCACUUUUGACCUCGGAUCAGGUAGGGAUACCCGCUGAACUUAAGCAUAUCAAUAAGCGGAGGA
rnacentral:misc_RNA from 1 species